rnacentral:tRNA from 1 species
GUGGGUAUAGCUCAGUGGUAGAGUGCAUGCUUAGCAUGCAUGAGGUCCUGGGUUCAAUCCCCUGUACCUCCA